rnacentral:lncRNA from 1 species
UUAUUUGUGGCCAUAUUUUCAUGUUGCCAGUCUAUCCCAGGGGUCCCGCAACUUAUCCGUAGAAGCUACAGAAGAUGAGCUCGCUCCAGUUUUAUUCAACUCCAAGCAGGUACCCAGCCCUUCCAGGGAAAUUAAGACGGAUUCUUCAGCCAGGCAUGAGAAGCAGAUGUACCUGGUGAAGUGUUUCCUAGCUCUGUAGCUUCCCUUCGGUCUAUUUUAAACAAUAAAGAACAAAUAAGCCCAAGAAAGUGACUUGGC